GUGUCAGCCGCCGCGGUAAUACCGGCAGUCCGAGUGAUGGCCGAUCUUAUUGGGCCUAAAGCGUCCGUAGCUGGCUGAACAAGUCCGUUGGGAAAUCUGUCCGCUUAACCGGCACACGUCCAGCGGAAACUGUUCAGCUUGGGACCGGAAGACCUGACCGGUACGUCUGGGGUAGGAGUGAAAUCCUGUAAUCCUGGACGGACCGCCGGUGGCGAAAGCGCCUCAGGAGAACGGAUCCGACAGUGAGGGACGAAAGCUAGGGUCUCGAACCGGAUUAGAAACCCCGGUAGUCC
rnacentral:rRNA from 1 species